GAUGAACGCUGGCGGCGUGCCUAAUACAUGCAAGUCGAGCGAACAGACGAGGAGCUUGCUCCUCUGACGUUAGCGGCGGACGGGUGAGUAACAAGUGGAUAACCUACUUAUAAGACUGGGAUAACUUCGGGAAACCGGAGCUAAUACCGGAUAAUAUAUUGAACCGCAUGGUUCAAUAGUGAAAGACGGUUUUGCUGUCACUUAUAGAUGGAUCCGCGUCGCAUUAGCUAGUUGGUAAGGUAACGGCUUACCAAGGCGACGAUGCGUAGCCGACCUGAGAGGGUGAUCGGCCACACUGGAACUGAGACACGGUCCAGACUCCUACGGGAGGCAGCAGUAGGGAAUCUUCCGCAAUGGGCGAAAGCCUGACGGAGCAACGCCGCGUGAGUGAUGAAGGUCUUCGGAUCGUAAAACUCUGUUAUUAGGGAAGAACAAAUGUGGAAUUAACUAUGCACGUCUUGACGGUACCUAAUCAGAAAGCCACGGCUAACUACGUG
rnacentral:rRNA from 1 species